rnacentral:tRNA from 1 species
GAGUAGAUGGCGAAAUUGGUAAACGCAUCACACUCAAAAUGUGAUAACUAUGGUUUUGAGGGUUCAAAUCCCUCUCUACUCA